AAUGGUUAAGUAGUUCUUAUUUUUAUUUUCGAAAUAAAAGAAUUUAUAUAUUU
rnacentral:tRNA from 2 species